rnacentral:rRNA from 1 species
UCGAGAAUAUUCGACAAUGGGCGAAAGCCUGAUCGAGCGACGCCGCGUGUAUGAUGAAGCUCUUAGGAGCGUAAAGUACUUUUUUCAGGGAAGAAUCCGCAAGGAUGACGGUACCUGAAGAAUAAGGGGAUGCUAAUCACGUGCCAGCAGCCGCGGUAAUACGUGAUCCCCGAGCGUUAUCCGGAUUUAUUGGGCGUAAAGGGUUCGUAGGUGGUAAUAUAAGUCUUUGGUUAAAUACUCUCGGCUCAACCUUGAGGAUGCCAGAGAUACUGUAUAACUAGAGGACGUUAGGGGCUGAUGGAACGGUAGGUGUAGGGGUGAAAUCCGUUGAUAUCUACCGGAACACCGAAAGCGAAGGCAUUCAGCUGGGACGAUCCUGACACUGAGGAACGAAAGCGUGGGUAGCAAAAAGG